rnacentral:rRNA from 1 species
UACAGAGGGGGCAAGCGUUGUUCGGAAUUACUGGGCGUAAAGGGCGCGUAGGCGGCCUUCUAAGUCGAACGUGAAAUCCCCGGGCUCAACCCGGGAACUGCGUCCGAUACUGGAAGGCUUGAAUCCGGGAGAGGGAUGCGGAAUUCCUGGUGUAGCGGUGAAAUGCGCAGAUAUCAGGAGGAACACCGGUGGCGAAGGCGGCGACCUGGUCCGAUACUGACGCUGAGGCGCGAAAGCGUGGGGAGCAAACAGG